CUACGGGCCGCAGUAGUGAGGAAUAUUGGUCAAUGGGCGCAAGCCUGAACCAGCCAUCCCGCGUGAAGGAUGAAGGUCCUAUGGAUUGUAAACUUCUUUUCUGCACCAAGAAACUUACCCUCGUGAGGGUAACUGACGGUAGUGCAGGAAUAAGGACCGGCUAACUCCGUGCCAGCAGCCGCGGUAAUACGGAGGGUCCAAGCGUUAUCCGGAUUUAUUGUGGUUUAAAGGGUGCGUAGGCGGAUUUGUAAGUCAGUGGUGAAAUCCUGCAGCUUAACUGUAGAACUGCCAUUGAUACUGCUAAUCUUGAAUAUAGUUGAGGUAGGCGGAAUGAGUAGUGUAGCGGUGAAAUGCUUAGAUAUUACUCAGAACACCGAUUGCGAAGGCAGCUUACUAAACUAUCAUUGACGCUGAUGCACGAAAGCGUGGGGAGCGAACAGGAUUAGAUACCCCGGUAGUC
rnacentral:rRNA from 1 species